GAGCCCUAAAAGUAUGACUGAAACCCUUUCCUUCUGUCUGAAGGGAAGCUGGUUAACCACCCAUGCCCACUGUAUGCCUUGGCUUGGGCAACCAGUAGCAUUGUGGCUGCUGGCUGUGACCGGAAGACUGUGGCCUGUGGAAAGGAAGGGCACAUGCUGCAGACUUUUGAUUACAGCCAGGACCCGCAGGAGCGGGAGUUCAGCAAGGCUGCAGCGAGUCCUGGGGGCCAGUCUGUUGUCCUGAGAAGUUAUGACAGUGGGUACCCUUUCCCUGUAAACUCUCUGCCUGACCAAAUUACUCUCAGCAGGAAUAGAAGCCUGGACAAAAUGAAGUACUGCGGUGAUCAACUGGAGUCCUCGAAGAAGCAUCUGGGUAGAGGCGAAGCCCAAGGAGAUUGCCAACUUACACACCGUCACUGCCUUGGCCUGGAAGCGGGCGGGAUGCCUCAGGACUCUGCACAGGCGCACUCUGUGGUGCAGUGGAACAGUCUGACUGCUGCCUCCGAAGGAGCAUUUACAGGAAUAAGUUUGAGCUGACCUGUGUGGGACCCAGGCAGACAGGAAACCACUGGCGAUUAUAGUGAGGAAGAGGACACAGAUUCUCUUCUUGACCAAAAUUUACUCUGGAUCCUCUGGGCGAUCUUUUUUUGUACCAAGGAUUGAACUCAAGACCUUCCAAGACAGGCACAGCACCACUGAGCUCAAGUCCCCAGCCCUGGGCCAUCUUGUCUACCAGGAUCAACCACUGUGGACAAAUGGCAUCCAACAAUGUCACCAUCUCCAUCAUCGCCACCAUCAUCACCAUAACCAGGAUCAUGAAUUGCUGGACACCCACUAUAAGCCAGCUCUAGGGCUAAGGAGUUAAGUAAAUUCUAUUUUUGAAACAUGCUGAUAAUGUGGAACUACAAAUUCAUCCUUCAGGGACAAAUGUCAGAGACCUCAGGUUGCCCAGGAUUGGGCUCAGUCUGCACAGAGAGAGUGGUUUGGUUCCUGUCCCUCCACACAGGGCUUCUGUGGAGAGCAUCAGUACUGCCUGUCAGACUCCUCCCUGUCCUACGAGGCUAAGGCCUGUGGCACAGCCAGCUCUGUUCACAGUCACUUCCUGCCCUCUCUCCCAGUGCCCCACUGAUCUAAGUAGCCAGAUCCCACCAUAGAUGGGACUCCUGAUGGUCACUUGUAGGAACAUAUGUGAACAUGCAUGUGUGUCUUCCCUGAGCAAACCAGAGCAAGAGCUUUUGCACACUCCCACCACCUCAGCCCCUAUGACCCUCACAUGGGGUCAUAAACUGCACUUCUGUCAGCUGCUACAGAUGAACCUCCUCGGUUUCCAUAGGCCCACCUGCCUUCCCACUCAUGCCAAGACCCCGCUCCUGUCACCCAUGCAAGCAGUUGUUCUGCAUCAGCACAAGUUUCUGCUCUAGAGGAACAUCCUCCAAAACCUACACAUAGAACAUGCUCCCUCAGAUCUAAACACUGCUUCUUUCUUGAUCCUGUCUCCCUCUUCAACUACUUUCCCCUUUCUCUCUAUAAUGAAACUCUUCAAGAGUUAUCUGUACUCCCUGUUACCAAAUCUUCACCUUCCAUUUCCUUUGAGCCCUGUAAUCAGGCUGAUGCCUGCUCUGUUCUGAGUGGUUUCAAGCUUGCUGAUGGCCUCCAUGGUGCCAAGGUUCCCAGGCCUUGCUGAAUUGGACACAGCAAGAGUACUUGAUGCAGUUCAUUUCUCCCUCCUCUCUCAAACAGUUUUCCUUUGCUUUCCUUGUGCUGGGGAUUGAACUCAGCACCUGGUGCAUGCUAAGCAUAGCACUCUACUGAGCUACAAUGCUACUGCCAAAACAGGUGUUUUGUUUCAGUUUUUGUUUUUCUUUACUGGGGUUUGAACCCAGGGUCUUUGCACUGAGCUGCAUCCCUAGUCCUUUUUUAUUUUUAUUUUGAGAGAGGGACUCACUAAGUCACCAAGUUGCCUAGGCUAAGCUUGUUGCUUGCACUGUGAUCUUCCUGCCUCUUCCUCCCAGAGUUCUGGGAUUAUAGGCAUAUACCACCAUGUCCAGCUCUUCAUUUGACUUUCAAGAUAACACUCAAUCUGAGUUUUCUCUGCCUUGUAGGGCAUUCCUUCCUGGUGUCUUCUGCUGAUUUCCCCCUCAUCUUUCAGUCUUCAAAACCGGGAACAGGUACUAUCUGCCAAGUCCCGUCCACCAUCUGGCCCUGCCACUUCUAUAAACACAAGUUGUCAGAACGAGGUCAUUUGUUUUCCUGGUCUGUGUCAGCUCAACAGAACUGAAUAGAUGAAUGGUCUGAAAGCUGAAAAUACUUCUCUCUGGUCCUGUCCAGGAAAGGUCUAAAUAGUGGAGUGCCCCAGGCUCAGGCCUUGUCUUCUCAAACCACCUUGGGCCCCUCAGGUGACCUCAUCCAGACCAGGUCCCAGGCAUCAACCAGAGGAUGGCAUGUGUCCCUUCACGUCUGCAGCCCAGGUGUCUUUUCUGAAUUCCCAACCACAUACUGCACAUAUAUCCAGCUCCCUCAGACACAUUGAGAACUUAACAGUGCUGGGCACUCAGCCCCACCCCCCCUUCCAGCAGGAAAAAACCCUGUUUCUCCUGCAUGGUUCCUACAUCUCAGCAAGUGGCAGG
ensembl:lncRNA